GAUGAACGCUGGCGGCGUGCUUGACCCAUGCAAGUCGAACGGGCCGGUUUUCCCCAAGAGGCCUGGAAGGGGCGGCGCACGAGAAAUCGGGCAACGCCUUGGAAGGGUUUGGCGGGGAAGGUGCCGGUCAGUGGCGGACGGGUGAGUAACACGUAGGUAAUCUGCCCCAAAGUGGGGAAUAACUGUCCGAAAGGGCGGCUAAUUCCGCAUGUGGUUCGGCCGAGAGGCCGAAAGAAAGGGAGCAAUCCCGCUUUGGGAUGAGCCUGCGGCCGAUUAGCUAGUUGGCGGGGUAACGGCCCACCAAGGCGAUGAUCGGUAGCUGGUCUGAGAGGACGAUCAGCCACACUGGAACUGCGACACGGUCCAGACUCCUACGGGAGGCAGCAGGGGGGAAUAUUGGACAAUGGGGGGAACCCGUGAUCCAGCAACGCCGCGUGAGCGAAGAAGGCCUCGGUCGGUAAGUACGUCUUUCUUGUAGGAAGGAGGCGAGGACGGGUACCGUCACGGAAGUAAGUACUCGGUCGUAACUACGUACGUCCGACG
rnacentral:rRNA from 1 species